ACACACACACACACACACACACACACACACACCGGAUUCUAUUAAUCAGCUGCACACACAGCAGGACUUUGAUGAGUUGAAUUAGGUUGGUUAAUGCAGGGCUGGAACGAAAGCCCGAGGUAAAGGGUUGGCCAGAGCCGACAGAGCGAUGACUGUGUGGUGCUGGCCAACCACAAGAUGGCGCCAAAAGGCAUACUGGAAUACUGAGCAACGAUGGAGCAGAGGUGACCACACCUUGAUUAUCUAUCUACACACAAUGAAUGAAAGCAUCAACCUUCUGUGGACCUGAACACCAAGACACUACACUUGACAGACCUCCAGUGCAGGACCACCACACACUAGACUGCUGUUAUUAAGCUAAAUGGGUUUAAACAACUAUAUUGAAACGUGUGUGUGUGUGUGUGUGUGUGUGUGUGUGUGUGUGUGUGUGUGUGUGUGUGUGUGUGUGUGUGUGUGUGUGUGUGUGUGUGUGUGUGUGUGUGUCAUUAUUGCAUAAAUAUCACUUCCAAAUGCUGAAAAAAAUUAGCAUUCAAAAUAGGCUCAAUGACUGAAAUUCUGUUUCUUGUAUAUGUUUUUUCUGAGUAAAGUGAGAGGUAAUAAAACCAUCCUCAACAGCAGAAGGGUUUUGUUACAGUUAUAGAUAAUGUAAUAAACCUUACAGCUACAGAUAAUGUAAUAAACCAUCCUCAACAGUAGAAGUGUUAUGUUACAGUUAUAGAUAAUGUAAUAAACCAUCCUGAACAGCAGAAGGGUUAUUUUACAGUUAUAGAUAAUGUAAUACACCAUCCCCAACAGUAAAAGGGUUAUGUUACAGCUAUAGAUAAUGUAAUAAAACCAGCCUCAACAGCAGAAGGGUUAUGUUACAGCUAUAGAUAAUGUAAUAAAACCAGCCUCAACAGUAGAAGGGUUAUGUUACAGCUAUAGAUAAUGUAAUAAAACCAGCCUCAACAGCAGAAGGGUUAUGUUACAGUUAUAGAUAAUGUAAUAAACCAUCCUCAACAGUAGUAGAAGGGUUAUGUCACAGUUAUAGAUAAUGUAAUAAAACCAGCCUCAACAGCAGAAGGGUUAUGUUACAGUUAUAGAUAAUGUAAUAAACCAUCCUGAACAGCAGAAGGGUUAUUUUACAGUUAUAGAUAAUGUAAUACACCAUCCCCAACAGUAGAAGGGUUAUGUUACAGCUAUAGAUAAUGUAAUAAAACCAGCCUCAACAGCAGAAGGGUUAUGUUACAGUUAUAGAUAAUGUAAUAAACCAUCCUCAACAGUAGUAGAAGGGUUAUGUCACAGUUAUAGAUAAUGUAAUUAAACCAUCCUCAACAGCAGAAAGGUUAUGUUACAGAUAAUGUAAUAAAACCAUCCUCAACAGUAGUAGAAGGGUUAUGUCACAGUUAUGGUCUUAGCUGUGGACAAUCAGAGACAUAGCUUGAGGCAUCAGAUCCUUACAUUGCCUGUCAUGUCUCUGUAUCUGGCACUAUAAAGAAACAGCAAUACACCAAGUCAACACUUUUGCCUUUGAACAUUCUUGUCCAGUUAAAAUGCCUUUGCCUUUUUCUUUCAGUAUUAGUUCAUCUUAUAGAAAUGGCUUCCCAACAUUGUAAUAAACUGUACAUGUAUCCACCUACAGGAUGUUGUAUCCUAUUCUAGAGAAUCGUCUUUGUGAAUGUUUCACUGGUUUUGAAAAGAAAUUAGACCAUGAUAUAGACCAUCAAUAGCACCAUCAGCUCUCCUGUUGUGGUUUCCCCUGAUAUGUAACGUGUGUAUCACAGAGAUGGAACAGUUCUAUAUCUAUGGUGUGUAUAGUGUUUAGAGGCUGGUCAUGUACUAUAGAUUCCAUCUAUAUACUGUAGUAUGUUGUGCAUUCCCUGGUUGGACAUGGAGAGUGGAGAAUUAUUUAUUAUUAUAAUAAUAUACUUAUUUAUUUGCUCGUUGUGCACUACUUUUGACCAGGUAGUGUACUAUGUAGGGAAUAGGGUAUAAUUUUGCUGUUUUUUACCUGCCGUGGGGUUACAAUGGGUUAGGAACUGGUCUGCAUGAUGUGGUAAAGCCAUGGAUUGACCACCAAGUAAAAUAUGCAUGUAACAAAAAACAUUUCCUUGUGAAGUAGUUGUAUUCUACAUGUCGCUACAAUGCCCAAAUCAGCAUGUACUAACAAAUAUUAUUUCCAAAAGGGCAACAAAAGCAAUACAAAGUCACUGCUCUUCUCUCUCAUCACUAUUUUCUUUAUGCUUUUCAUUUUUUACAAUUAUUUUGAGAUGUUAAAUAAUAAAUCAAAUGUUUUGUUUUAUGAA